UACAGAGGUGGCAAGCGUUGUUCGGAAUUACUGGGCGUAAAGGGCUCGUAGGCGGCCAACUAAGUCAGACGUGAAAUCCCUCGGCUUAACCGGGGAACUGCGUCUGAUACUGGAUGGCUUGAGGUUGGGAGAGGGAUGCGGAAUUCCAGGUGUAGCGGUGAAAUGCGCAGAUAUCAGGAGGAACACCGAUGGCGAAGGCAGGUCUCUGGGCCACUACUGACGCUGAGAAGCGAAAGCAUGGGGAGCGAACAGG
rnacentral:rRNA from 1 species